CUACGUGCCAGCAGCCGCGGUAAUACGGAGGAUGCGAGCGUUAUCCGGAUUUAUUGGGUUUAAAGGGUGCGUAGGCGGCCUGUUAAGUCAGCGGUGAAAUCUAGGAGCUUAACUCCUAAAUCGCCAUUGAUACUGGCGGGCUUGAGUGUAGAUGAGGUAGGCGGAAUGCGUGGUGUAGCGGUGGAAUGCAUAGAUAUCACGCAGAACUCCGAUUGCGAAGGCAGCUUACUAAGGUACAACUGACGCUGAAGCACGAAAGCGUGGGUAUCAAACAGGAUUAGAUACCCUGGUAGUCCACGCUGUAAACGAUGAUAACUGGGCGUAUGCGAUAUACAGUAUGCUCCUAAGCGAAAGCGUUAAGUUAUCCACCUGGGGAGUACGCCGGCAACGGUGAAACUCAAAGGAAUUGACGGGGGCCCGCACAAGCGGAGGAACAUGUGGUUUAAUUCGAUGCAACGCGAAGAACCUUACCUACUCUUGACAUCCAUGGAAUCUUGUAGAGAUACGGGAGUGC
rnacentral:rRNA from 1 species